CACGUAGUUAGCCGUGACUUUCUGGCGGGGCACCAUCAGUCAGCACCCAUUUCCUGAUGCUGCCUUUUUUCCCCCGCAACAGAGCUUUACGACCCGAAGGCCUUCUUCACUCACGCGGCAUCGCUCGUUCAGGCUUGCGCCCAUUGACGAAAAUUCCCUACUGCCGCCUCCCGCAGGAGUCUGGGCCGUGUCUCAGUCCCAAUGUGGCCGUCCGCCCUCUCAGGCCGGCUAUGCAUCAUCGUCUUGGUGGGCCUUUACCCGCCAACCAACUAAUGCACCGCAGGUCCAUCCGCGCCCCAUCCCCCUAAAGGAUGUUUCACAGAAAGAAGAUGCCUCCUUCCUGUACAUCGGGAUUGUUCUCCGUUUCCAGAGCGUAUUCCCGGUGCACGGGUCGUACCGUACCGUGUUACUCUACCGUUCCGUCCACCUAGAGACCGAACGUACGUCUCGUUCGACUGUCAUGUAUUAGGUCGAUGUCCGCCGACGACGGUCCUACUACCUCGUACGG
rnacentral:rRNA from 1 species